UACGUAGGGUGCAAGCGUUGUCCGGAAUUAUUGGGCGUAAAGAGCUCGUAGGCGGUCUGUCGCGUCUGCUGUGAAAACUCAGGGCUUAACCCUGAGCUUGCAGUGGGUACGGGCAGACUAGAGCGCGGUAGGGGAGACUGGAAUUCCUGGUGUAGCGGUGAAAUGCGCAGAUAUCAGGAGGAACACCGGUGGCGAAGGCGGGUCUCUGGGCCGUAACUGACGCUGAGGAGCGAAAGCAUGGGGAGCGAACAGG
rnacentral:rRNA from 1 species